rnacentral:rRNA from 1 species
CGAAUGGGGGCAACCCUGAUCCAGCCAUGCCGCGUGAGUGAAGAAGGCCUUCGGUUGUAAAGCUCUUUCGGCCGGAAAAAAUCGCCUCUCCUAAUACCCUGUGUGGAUGACGGUACCGGAAUAAGAAGCACCGGCUAACUACGUGCCAGCAGCCGCGGUAAUACGUAGGGUGCGAGCGUUAAUCGGAAUUACUGGGCGUAAAGCGUGCGCAGGCGGUUUAGUAAGACAGGCGUGAAAUCCCCGGGCUCAACCUGGGAACUGCGCUUGUGACUGCUAAGCUAGAGUACGGCAGAGGGGGGUGGAAUUCCACGUGUAGCAGUGAAAUGCGUAGAGAUGUGGAGGAACACCGAUGGCGAAGGCAGCCCCCUGGGCCGAUACUGACGCUCAUGCACGAAAGCGUGGGUAGCAAACAGGAUUAGAUACCCUGGUAGUCCACGCCCUAAACGAUGUCAACUAGGUGUUGGGAGGGUAAAACCUUUUAGUACCGGAGCUAACGCGUGAAGUUGACCGCCUGGGGAGUACGGCCGCAAGGUUAAAAACUCAAAGGAAUUGACGGGG